rnacentral:snRNA from 1 species
ACACUUACCCUAGGAGGGAGACAACAUGAUCACAAAUGUGUUCUUCCCAUGGUCAGUCUUCUACAUUGUGUUCUACAUGUGGUGAUCCCUGCAUUUUCCUCGAUAGUGGAACACUGGCUUGUAACCUGUGAUAGUGAAUACUGUUUUUGUGCUCCUCC